rnacentral:rRNA from 1 species
GACGUAGGGCGCGAGCGUUGUCCGGAUUUAUUGGGCGUAAAGAGCUCGUAGGCGGCUUGUCGCGUCUGCUGUGAAAAUCCGGGGCUCAACCCCGGACUUGCAGUGGGUACGGGCAGACUAGAGUGUGGUAGAGGAGACUGGAAUUCCUGGUGUAGCGGUGAAAUGCGCAGAUAUCAGGAGGAACACCGAUGGCGAAGGCAGGUCUCUGGGCCACUACUGACGCUGAGAAGCGAAAGCAUGGGGAGCGAACAGG